rnacentral:rRNA from 1 species
GAUGAACGCUGGCGGCGUGCCUAAUACAUGCAAGUCGAGCGAACGGACGAGAAGCUUGCUUCUCUGAUGUUAGCGGCGGACGGGUGAGUAACACGUGGAUAACCUACCUAUAAGACUGGGAUAACUUCGGGAAACCGGAGCUAAUACCGGAUAAUAUUUUGAACCGCAUGGUUCAAAAGUGAAAGACGGUCUUGCUGUCACUUAUAGAUGGAUCCGCGCUGCAUUAGCUAGUUGGUAAGGUAACGGCUUACCAAGGCAACGAUGCAUAGCCGACCUGAGAGGGUGAUCGGCCACACUGGAACUGAGACACGGUCCAGACUCCUACGGGAGGCAGCAGUAGGGAAUCUUCCGCAAUGGGCGAAAGCCUGACGGAGCAACGCUGCGUGAGUGAUGAAGGUCUUCGGAUCGUAAAACUCUGUUAUUAGGGAAGAACAUAUGUGUAAGUAACUGUGCACAUCUUGACGGUACCUAAUCAGAAAGCCACGGCUAACUACGUGCCAGCAGCCGCGGUAAUACGUAGGUGGCAAGCGUUAUCCGGAAAUAUUGGGCGUAAAGCGCGCGUAGCGGUUUUUUAAGUCUGAUGUGAAAGCCCACGGCCUCAACCGUGGAGGGUCAUUGGAAACUGGAAAACUUGAGUGCAGAAGAGGAAAGUGGAAUUCCAUGUGUAGCGGUGAAAUGCGCAGAGAUAUGGAGGAACACCAGUGGCGAAGGCGACUUUCUGGUCUGUAACUGACGCUGAUGUGCGAAAGCGUGGGGAUCAAACAGGAUUAGAUACCCUGGUAGUCCACGCCGUAAACGAUGAGUGCUAAGUGUUAGGGGGUUUCCGCCCCUUAGUGCUGCAGCUAACGCAUUAAGCACUCCGCCUGGGGAGUACGACCGCAAGGUUGAAACUCAAAGGAAUUGACGGGGACCCGCACAAGCGGUGGAGCAUGUGGUUUAAUUCGAAGCAACGCGAAGAACCUUACCAAAUCUUGACAUCCUUUGACAGCUCUAGAGAUAGAGCCUUCCCCUUCGGGGGACAAAGUGACAGGUGGUGCAUGGUUGUCGUCAGCUCGUGUCGUGAGAUGUUGGGUUAAGUCCCGCAACGAGCGCAACCCUUAAGCUUAGUUGCCAUCAUUAAGUUGGGCACUCUAAGUUGACUGCCGGUGACAAACCGGAGGAAGGUGGGGAUGACGUCAAAUCAUCAUGCCCCUUAUGAUUUGGGCUACACACGUGCUACAAUGGACAAUACAAAGGGCAGCGAAACCGCGAGGUCAAGCAAAUCCCAUAAAGUUGUUCUCAGUUCGGAUUGUAGUCUGCAACUCGACUACAUGAAGCUGGAAUCGCUAGUAAUCGUAGAUCAGCAUGCUACGGUGAAUACGUUCCCGGGUCU